UUAUCAGAUUCUACCACCUCUGUGAACCGUUGACCUCCGGGUUAAUAAUCAAACAUCAGUGUAACGAACGUAAGAGUAUCUUAACGAAACAAAACUUUCAACAACGGAUCUCUUGGCUCUCGCAUCGAUGAAGAACGCAGCGAAAUGCGAUAAGUAAUGUGAAUUGCAGAAUUCAGUGAAUCAUCGAAUCUUUGAACGCACCUUGCGCCUUUUGGUAUUCCGAAAGGCAUGCCUGUUUCAGUGUCAUGAAAUCUCAAUCUAAUAUGUUUUCUGAACAUGUUAGGCUUGGACUUGGGCGUCUGCCAGUGAUGGCUCGCCUCAAAUGACUUAGUGGAACAUCCCACAUCAGUGUUAGACGUAAUAAGUUUCGUCUCUCCUUGUGGUGAUGACUGCUCAGAACCUGCCAUCGCGCAUCUUUUGACUUUGACCUGAAAUCAGGUAGGGCUACCCGCUGAACUUAAGCAUAUCAAUAAG
rnacentral:misc_RNA from 1 species